CCUACGGGAGGCAGCAGUGGGGAAUUUUGGACAAUGGGCGAAAGCCUGAUCCAGCAAUGCCGCGUGAGUGAAGAAGGCCUUCGGGUUGUAAAGCUCUUUUGUCAGGGAAGAAACGGUGAGAGCUAAUAUCUCUUGCUAAUGACGGUACCUGAAGAAUAAGCACCGGCUAACUACGUGCCAGCAGCCGCGGUAAUACGUAGGGUGCAAGCGUUAAUCGGAAUUACUGGGCGUAAAGCGUGCGCAGGCGGUUUUGUAAGUCUGAUGUGAAAUCCCCGGGCUCAACCUGGGAAUUGCAUUGGAGACUGCAAGGCUAGAAUCUGGCAGAGGGGGGUAGAAUUCCACGUGUAGCAGUGAAAUGCGUAGAUAUGUGGAGGAACACCGAUGGCGAAGGCAGCCCCCUGGGUCAAGAUUGACGCUCAUGCACGAAAGCGUGGGGAGCAAACAGGAUUAGAUACCCUGGUAGUCCACGCCCUAAACGAUGUCUACUAGUUNUCGGGCCUUAAUUGACUUGGUAACGCAGCUAACGCGUGAAGUAGACCGCCUGGGGAGUACGGUGCCCAAGAUUAAAACGUCAAAGGAAUGACGG
rnacentral:rRNA from 1 species